GGACCAAUGAAUGAAUGAGUGAUCCUAGUCGUGGCUGGGCACGCUUUGUCCAGUGGAAGGGGCCGGAGUCUGUAGUCAGGGGAGAGCAAGGACAAAGGUCCUGGUCCUGCCAGUGUGGGAGCCGCACCUUCAUUUCGUCCCAGCAGGAGCCCAGAACCCAGUGACCUGGGAGCCUCAGGGAGCCCAGCCUCCCCUCUCCGAGUUGCCCCCCCCACCCCCCAUUUCACCGGAGAUGUGGCCUCAGCCUGGAUCUGUCCAUCCCUAGGUCCUGACCCCAUGUCUAGGAAAAAACCACCACUUCAGAUGGAGGAUGGGAAUGAGGCCCCCUCUGCUCCUCCCACCAGGCAGCCCCCCUGGCUUGCCUCCAAGCCUCCCAACCUCCUUAGUUACAUGUGUUCUGAGCUGGAGACCACAGGGGCCAGAGCUUGGCAGAUGCCCCCCUGGGAUCCUCUGAGCCCCAGGGCUCCUUCCCAGGCAGGCCUCCGCCUUCACCUCACCGUCCCCCCCAGCCUGCUCUGAGGAAAGAGCAGUGAUGCAAAAUUCAGUUGGGGAGAAAAACAGGAAGUGGAGCCCGAGAGCAAAGCCUGCAGUGGCUCUCCCCAGCCUCUCCCCAGCGAAUGCGGCAGCCCCCUUCCACCCGCAGCCUUACAGGAAAGUGGCGAGGGGACAGCCCCAGCCCGAGUUGUCGGGGCAAGGUCUGGGGAUGGUGCAGGUGGAGAUACCACUCGAGACCCUUGGGCUGUACUUGCAGGGGCUGUUUUCAGGCCCAGCAUUGCAUCUGUGAUCUGCAUUUUACAUCUUCUCUCACCUGCUCACAGCAGCUCCUCAAGGUGUCGCCAAACCUCGUGGUCUGAGCCACCAUCAAGAGGCGGGGCACUGAGUUUCACUCACCCAUUCAACACGUGUCAAAGGCCACCAGACACGGUCCUGUGACCCGAGGAUACUGUGACAAAUGUCCCUGCCUCCAGAACAUUCAGGAGGAAACGGCGUCUUGGCAGAGUAAUUAAUUUUUCCAAGGUGAGUGGACCAGUAGCUCCCUGGUAGAGGUAGAAUUCCACCAGCUCCGUCCUUUCCGAGCCUGCCUUCUUCCCACGGAGCGGCUGGAUUGUCCCCGAACUCCUCCUCUCACGUUCUGGAUGUGCACAUGGAAAUUACCGAAGCUGGAGUGCUUGUAUACACGGAGACUGCCCGGAAGUUGACCGGAGAUCCUUGUGGCUUUCACGUGCCGCGGUCCUGAUUCCCGAGGAUAGCCACCGUAGCAGUCCGGUGGGAGUCCCUUCCUGCCAGCACCGGCUAGGUAAUCGUGGGGCCUGGUGCAAAACGAAAAGGUGGGCCCCAGGUUCAAAAAUAAUGAAGAUUUUCAAGAUGGCACAGCAGACCAGUGGUGGAGUGUGGGGCCCUUCUGAGUGUGGGGGGCUGUGUUGUGGCACGGGCCUCACGCCGCUAAGGCUAGCUCUGCUCCCCGGUUUGCUUCUUCAGUGCACUCCCCAAAUAUGUUCAGGUCUUUAACUGUGUACAAAAAGCCAGCCUUGGGGCGCCUGAAGCCUCUGCCUUCAGCUUGGGUCAUGGUCUCAGGG